rnacentral:rRNA from 1 species
AACGAACGCUGGCGGCAGGCUUAACACAUGCAAGUCGAACGCCCCGCAAGGGGAGUGGCAGACGGGUGAGUAACGCGUGGGAACGUGCCCUUCGCUUCGGAAUAUUCCCGGGAAACUGGGAGCAAUGCCGGAUACGCCGAAUUGGGAAAGAGUUAUCGGCGAAGGAUCGGCCCGAGUUAGAUUAGGUAGUUGGUGGGGUAAUGGCCUACCAAGCCUACGAUCUAUAGCUGGUCUGAGAGGAUGACCGGCCACACUGGGACUGAGACACGGCCCAGACUCCUACGGGAGGCAGCAGUGGGGAAUCUUGGACAAUGGGCGCAAGCCUGAUCCAGCCAUGCCGCGUGAGUGCAGAAGGCCUUAGGGUUGUAAAACUCUUUCGCCGGUGAAGAUAAUGACGGUAGCCGGAGAAGAAGCCCCGGCUAGCUUCGUGCCAGCAGCCGCAGUAACAC